GACACCUACGGGAGGCAGCAGUGGGGAAUAUUGCACAAUGGGGGAAACCCUGAUGCAGCGACGCCGCGUGAGUGAAGAAGUAUCUCGGUACGUAAAGCUCUAUCAGCAGGGAAGAAAAAAAGUCCUUUGGACUUUGGACGGUACCUGACCAAGAAGCCCCGGCUAACUACGUGCCAGCAGCCGCGGUAAUACGUAGGGGGCAAGCGUUAUCCGGAUUUACUGGGUGUAAAGGGAGCGUAGACGGCCAGACAAGUCUGAAGUGAAAAUCCAGCGCUUAACGUUGGAAGUGCUUUGGAAACUGCCGG
rnacentral:rRNA from 1 species